rnacentral:rRNA from 1 species
AUUGAACGCUGGCGGCAGGCCUAACACAUGCAAGUCGAGCGAGCGGCGGACGGGUGAGUAAUGUAUGGGGACUGCCCGAUAGAGGGGGAUAACUACUGGAAACGGUAGCUAAUACCGCAUACUAUCGGAUAACCCAUAUGGGAUUAGCUAGUAGGUAGGGUAAUGGCUCACCUAGGCGACGAUCCCUAGCUGGACUGAGAGGAUGAUCAGCCACACUGGGACUGAGACACGGCCCAGACGCCUACGGAGGCAGCAGUGGGGAAUAUUGGACAAUGGGCGCAAGCCUGAUGCAGCCAUGCCGCGUGUGUGAUGAAGGCCCUAGGGUUGUAAAGUACUUUCAGUCGGGAGGCGUUACCGACAGAAGAAGCACCGGCUAACUCCGUGCCAGCAGCCGCGGUAAUAC